rnacentral:lncRNA from 1 species
UCAACAAUACUUUGGAAGGAAACAGACAAGGAAUCAUUUAUUCAUUCGUUCUUAUGUUCCUAGUCAUAGUUCAUCUCAACGAUAUUUCCAUUUCCAAUUAGAAAUAAUUUUUAAAAAAAUUUCCAUUGUUGUAUUAAAUGAUUUUUUAAGAAUCUUCAUUGAUUGAAAAUAUCUUCAAUUAAUUUUAAGAAAAAAAUUUAUCGCAACAUGGAUGCCAUAAUUGCUAGAAAUAUAAUCGAAUUAGCUGGAGCUAUGAUGGAAGAAUUCGAAACAACAUGGAACAACAUAAAUAAAAAAGAAAUUAACCAACUCAAUUAUCAUACAAUAAAAUUACAUUUGUCGCAUAUAAAAGAACAACGAGAUUUGCUUAUCAAUGCUAAUACAUUCAAUUCUUAUCAUUUUCCAAAUCUUCUCGUUAUAAGAAAGAACUUCAUGCAAAAAUAUAUUCCAAUUGUGGCUGCAGCAGACUUGUACAUGAUACAGUACAAAAACUUCGACAUAGAGUAAAAAUAAAAUCUUGAUAAUAAUAAAAGUAACAAUUCUUUAAAAUUAAAAAAUAGUUAAAUUUCAUUUUUUUUUUUUUUAUUAUUAAAUUUAGAGAUUCAUUUCUUCUUAAAGAUGUUAUGAAAAAUAUUAAAUUGCUCGAAAAAUAUUUUCGUUUUAUUAAAAUCGUUUCAUCAUUUUAUUCAUUUUUACAUGUACAUAUAUUAAUUUAUAACUUUUUUAUAUAUUUUUACUUCGAUUCUUGCGUUAGAUUAAUAGCACAUGAUUUUAUUAUUUGCUCUCUUUUUAAUUUUGUUAUAUAGAUAUAUUUUACAUAUAAAAAUAAAAACUAAAAUACAAAUCUACAGAUAUAAAAUUUUGUCAUUACACAUAGAAUAGAACUAUAAAACAAUAUUGUUUUCAACGUAUGUACUUUAUCUAAGUUAAAAUAAAAUCCUUUAAAAUUUUUAA